AAUGGGCGAAAGCCUGAUGCAGCAACGCCGCGUGAGUGAUGAAGGCCUUCGGGUCGUAAAACUCUGUCCUCAAGGAAGAUAAUGACGGUACCAGAGGAGGAAGCCACGGCUAACUACGUGCCAGCAGCCGCGGUAAUACGUAGGUGGCAAGCGUUGUCCGGAUUUACUGGGCGUAAAGGGAGCGUAGGCGGAUAUUUAAGUCAGAUGUGAAAUACCCGAGCUUAACUUGGCUGCUGCAUUUGAAACUGGAUACCUGGAGUGCAGGAGAGGAAAGUGGAAUUCCUAGUGUAGCGGUGAAAUGCGUAGAGAUUAGGAAGAACACCAGUGGCGAAGGCGACUUUCUGGACUGUAACUGACGCUGAGGCUCGAAAGCGUGGGGAGCAAA
rnacentral:rRNA from 1 species